rnacentral:lncRNA from 1 species
AUAGUAUUUAAAACUGCCUUCUUUUGGUAUUCUCUGGUAUUCUCUCUUUUUCUUUUUCUUUUUGAUUUUCAAUUUAAAAUGACUCUGUUUGUUACCUCUUAACAGAAAGUAUUCAAAUAAAUUCUCUUGGAUUCUGUUGGCUUGUAGAGAAGAAUUUUACAAGCCUGGGCCAUAGGAUUUGUGGUUAAGUGUGUAGACUACAUAGCACUGCUUUUAUGCAAUUUGUUUAAAGCUUAGAAUUAAAAAAAAAAUAUAUUAAGAUAUUGAAGUUUGAUAUUUUAGAAAUUAAAAUAUUUUUAUGCCCCACCUACGAUAGUAGAGGGGCAUUAUGUUUUCUGGUCUGUCCGUCCGUCCGUCCGUCUGUUCGUUCGUUCGUCCGUUCGUCCGUUUGUCUGUUCGUCCGUCUGUCCCGCUUCAGGUUAAAGUUUUUGGUCGAGGUAGUUUUUGAUGAAGUUGAAGUCCAAUCGACUUCAUACUUGGUACACAUGUUCCCUAUGAUAUGAUCUUUCUAAUUUUAAUGCAAAAUUAGAGAUUUUACCCCAAUUUCACGGUCCACUGAACAUAGAAAAUGAUAGUGCGAGUGGGGCAUUCGUGUACUGAGGACACAUUCUUGUUUAUUGUUAAUACUACAAUCUUUCCUUAUAGAAUUACUUAAAAUAAGUGUAAAACAAAAAUUAAAAAAAUCACAGUAAGAAAAGGUAACAAUAAAAGUCAGGUUGUAUAAUUAUCAAGGCUGAUGAAAAAGUUUGGGGACACAUUCCUGCAUCCUACUUUGACAAAAUACAGGGCAGUAGGAGGUUAAACUUGAGAAUAGAAAUAGGGAAUGUGUCAUAGAGCAGAAAGCAGCCCAACAUCACCAUUAGGUCUUCAACACAUCAAUAAAUCCCGCCUCCAGAGGCUGGCUUCAGCUGGCCCUUAAAAAAAUGUGUACUAGUUAAAUAAAAAUGCAUGUCACACUUAACUCUGAAAUGUAUAAUAUCUAAAAUGCAAUUCAUACCAUGCAUUCUUCAUGAAAGGUAAUUUCCUAAAUUUCAUAUGUAUCAACCAUUUUAUUCUUACAUGACUUUUGUUAUGGUAAAUCUGCUAGGAUAUAUUCAUUCAUAGACACUUAUAUAUUUUUGUGUAGUUUAUGAGAAAGUCCCAUUUUAUGAUAUUUAGUAACUUCUUAAUUUCAUCCAAAGAAUAUUUUGAAAAGUGCUUGUUAAUGGCAUAAUACUUUUAUGGAAUAAAUAGUUCCUGGUGUUGGCUUAUUUUGAAUACUUUUACUAUGAAACAUCUAGUGCUAUCUCAGUAUUGAUGCGAGUCACCUUUAAAUACUCAUAUAUCACUUGUUUCUCUAUGGAGCGUUUGUGUGUGUUAUUACUAGACAUAUUAAUUAAACAUUUUCUGAUUACAUUCCAAAAUAUCUAAUAAUUUCUGAUUUAGAUAGGAAUAAACGUAUAUAUUUGGAAAAUGACAAAAAGACCCCAUCCAAAAUAAACCAAAUCAUUUGUAAACCCUAAACCAUAAUAGCCAUGCAAAAUGUGCACCUAUACAAUGUAUUAUGCACUAAAUUUAUCCUGUCUACUAAAGUACACGGUAGGAGACAGUCUCCUCCUGAAUUUAAAUGUCAAUUUAUGAUUUUUUGUGAAAAAAGUGUAUCUGUUUUCAUCUCACAAUAUAAUUAAAUCCCAAAUUUCUGAAAUCCCCCUGUUAUAUUUGACUAUUUUCGAUUGUCCACAAAUUAAAUGGGCCAAACCUAAAUUACCUUAAAAGGUCCAUCACCCUUACAAGUAGUAAGUAGAUUUAACAAUUUGUAAGUAAACAAAGAAAAAAACAUGUUAAGAUAUGACAAAAGACAGCCUUUAACCCAAAGCUCGGUUCCAAACCCUGAACUCCAUGACACUUUCCCAUAACUUUUUUAGAAAAAAAAGGUUGGGUUCUAACCCUAAAACAUCCCCUAGACCCACCAAUGAAUCUGGCUCCUAACUUCUGAAAGGGACUUGAACAUAUUAUCUAGACUUUCAAAGAGUUAUACCCACAUUUAACAAAAGUAGAGAGACAUUAUUGAUUAAUUUAAUGCCCCAACAGACAAUUUGUAAUUUUAUGAUUACCAGUACUACAUGUAAUUAUAUAAACGCCAAUUACUGAAGAAGAGUAUUAUAAUACAAGAUGCUGUAAUUUAUUGAUAUAUUUUCAUUUUGCAAAGAUUUUUGCUAAUUUUUAAAUGUUGAUUUUGAAACAAAAAUUGCCAUAGCUUGGAAAGGAUAAUGUUGACGGUUGCAGAUGGAUUGGAAUUUGAGGGUUUUUUUUAAUAUUUUGUUCUAAAUUAUUUUUUUACUUAUAUUAUUUUAUACUUUAUUCAAAUUUGUUUAAUGGUUUUGGUGAUCAAUUGAAGUAUUUUUAUUCAGAAUAACAUAAUUAUGUAGAAGUGAUUGUUCAGAAAGAUUUUCUUUUAUGUAGAAACUAAAAAGUAGAAACUAAAAAUAGGGAUUCUUUGGAAACCCUGCUCUAUCUACUACCAUACACAAUUUCAUUUCACUGGUAUUUAUAUGAAGAAAAAAAAUGACAGUAUACUAUGAUGUCUUUUCCAAAAAUAAACUGAAAUUAGUUUGCAGAGAAGAAAGAAAAGAAAAUCAUACAUGCAUGGUAAUCCAGUUUAUGGAGUAGUUCAUUCAAUAUAACAAUUACAUUACACUUUAACUAUGAUCACAUGAUGUGUGUUAUUUAUUUUGUUUGUUCUUUUGUCUUUUUAUACUAUAUUGCCAUAAAUAAUUGUAAUAAUUGCUCAUUAUUUUGUAUUUGAAGGAAUUUUGUUGAAUAUUACAUUUUAUGUCACAUGUACAAUAUAAUCAUGCAUAUUCUCCUUGGACAUUUUUGUUGUAGAGUUUGAGCAUGCCCAGUAAUUAUUCUCUUAAACAAAAUGAGGUGAGAAAAAAUGAAAAAACAACAUUAUUUUAUCAGAAAAUAUGGAAUUUUUCCAUGCAGAAUAUCUUACUUGGCUUGCUUUCAAUUUUUUUUCUAAACAAGUCAAUGUGUAUUUUAUCUAGUUGACCUGAAGGGUCAUGCAUCUACCAAUCAUUUUAAACUUAGAAUCUAUUACUCUGUUUUCUUAAACUUGUUGUAGCUAUACUUCUUAGAUUACUUCAUUUUGUAGUGAUCACUAGAAUUGAAAUUGACCAUAAAUAUGCAUGAAUUAGCUCAAACAUUUCUAUAAUAUUUUUUAAUUUAAAAAAGAAACAUUAUUUUGGUCAAAAAUCUGAGUAUCAUAUACAUUGAAUGAUAAACUUCUAUAGGAAUACAAAAGGCUGCUUUCUUUUGAGCAGCCAUGGUGGUCUUAAGGUAACACGCUCAACUAGUGUAGGAGGUGGUGGUUCUAAUCCAAAGCCUGGUCAAACCAAAAACUAACAUAAGUAUUUGUUCAUGAUUAUGCAUGUAACACUUGCUGCUGGACGUCAAACUCCUACCUAUCCAUCCAUCUUUUCUAAUGUAAAUCAUUUUGUAGAGACUGUUAACAUUUUCUUGUGCAAAAAUGUAAAACCUUACUUUGGAUUCAUUUAUUUGUGGGUACCAAUUUUCGUGGAUUGAUGAAAACUUGUAUGUUCGUGGAUAUAUAAUUUCGUCUUUUUGCCAAAGUCUGCAUAAACCUUAUGGAAAAAUUUGUAAGUCGUUAAAUAUUUUAUUUCAUGGUUCACCAGAAUCCCUGAAAUCCACAAAAAUUAGUACCCAACAACAAAUAAUGAAUCCACAAUAUUCUAUACUGUAAAUUCAGAAAUUAUUGCGUGCAUUUAUUAUUACGAUUAUGUAAUUUUAAACUUAAAGUCAUAUGAAACCAGUGAGUGGUGAAAAAUAAUGUUUAUCCAAUUCUUGAACCAAUACAUGUAUAUAUCAUAAACUUAGAACUCUGUGCACGAUUUUGUCAUUUUUUACACAAAUAUAUCGUAUAAUCGUCAAUUUUUUUCUCUCUCUGUCUGUUAUGAUUUAAAAAAUAUGGC